AUGAACAGUUACCUGAGCAAGUGCUCCACUGCCGCAAUGAUGUUUGGGAUUGAUCUUAACAUGAGUCCUCCACAAGAUGAUGCCUCAGAACCUGCAGAUCAACAGGAAGAACAGAACAGUCAACAACAAUACAACAAUGAGGAACCAGUCAAUAAUGAAGCAACAUGGGAAGAAGCAAGUGGUGUAGAGGAACCAAUUCAUGAAGAAGCAAGUGGUGUAGAGGAAGCAAUUCAUGAGGAAGUGCUGUACAGAAACCAAUUCAUGAGGAACUCACAAAUGAGGAGAGAUAUGGUAUUUUUUUUGCACUCAUGGUGA
rnacentral:rRNA from 1 species